rnacentral:rRNA from 1 species
AUUCUUCGGAUGAAGACUUUUGUGACUGAGCGGCGGACGGGUGAGUAACGCGUGGGUAACCUGCCUCAUACAGGGGGAUAACAGUUAGAAAUGACUGCUAAUACCGCAUAAGACCACAGCACCGCAUGGUGCAGGGGUAAAAACUCCGGUGGUAUGAGAUGGCCUCGCGUCUGAUUAGAUAGUUGGUGAGGUAACGGCCCACCAAGCCGACGAUCGGUAGCCGACCUGAGAGGGUGAUCGGCCACAUUGGGACUGAGACACGGCCCAAACUCC